ACCCAGAGGAACGAGGCGCUGAGGUUUAGCCUUAUAGUGUCACCGGUGCGCUGCAAGAAACGGAUACAAAUAACUACCGAGUCUCCCCGCAAAGCAUUAUGGGUAACAGACGCCAUAUGCCUGAUUCUCUGCCCUCAGUUUGGACUCACAGGAGAGGACUGUCUGCCUUCAGGUAUAACUUCAGCUAAAUAAAGAAUUAAGAGAUCUUCAUUGCCAGGAGUCUUUAGUGGUUUACAGUGUGAUUGUUCAUGAGGGAUACGGCCUGAGGGAGGAAGCUGCUCCGGUGCCGGGAUGUUCUGGUGCUCAGAGCUCUGAAGCGCCAGCCAGAGGGCAGUAGGUGGUGACCCAGAUAUUAGGUCACACGUGGGGACAUACCAACGGGCCAAAAAGCUCAAAUGUAAACAAGCCCAUCGUUCCCGCUUGGCUGGGCCUCUGGAAAUUUCCACCUCGAUGACAGUGCAGAGAGCUCCACCAGAGAGAGCUCCACCAGAGGAGCUCCACAACAAACCCUGCCCUACAGUAGCCCCGAGGCCACGCCCACUGAGCGAACCCUCUCAUGUCGACGCCUCCUAUUGGCUCAUUCGAAGGUGUGCCAAUCAAAGUGACGUCAGAGGCUAAAUAAGUAUAUAUAUGUAAAUAUAUGUCCUUCUUGUUAAAAAAAAUAAUGUAUCCAAAUUAAAUAAACUUGUAAUGUCACUGAAUGUAAA